rnacentral:tRNA from 1 species
AGAAUGUGGACCUAAAAAUAGAAGUUUAACUCUUCUUAGUGACCGA